rnacentral:rRNA from 1 species
CAAGUCAGCAUGACCUUUAUAUCCAGGGCUACACACACGCUACAAUGGUCUGUACAAUGGGUAGCCAAGCCGCGAGGCGGAGCCAAUCCUGAAAAGCAGGCCUCAGUUCAGAUUGCAGUCUGCAACUCGACUGCAUGAAGCCGGAGUUGCUAGUAACCGCAGGUCAGCAAUACUGCGGUGAAUACGUUCCCGGGUCUU